rnacentral:lncRNA from 1 species
GGAGACCCUUAUACCCCUCCAAGACUUCUCUCUUAUUCACACUCAACCUAGAGAAUCUGUCGCCUACCACCGCACGCCGCCGAUCGGAAAUCGCCUUCACCGGCGGCGGUUGUCCAAUGGCCCUGGAAUUUACACCUUGUCCUCUUCUUCACCUCCUCGUUCCAUAUAUGCCAUUGGUUUAUUUCAAACAUCACCCAAACGUUUUGAAUAAUCCAAACCCUAGAUGCCGUCUCUGCCGCCACGGCAGCACCAACUCCAAACCCGUCCAAAAUUACACCCUGAACUCAUCUCAUCUUCUUCUUGCUAAAUCCAUAAACCAUUGCCUUCAAAUCUCAGCCAAUCCUCUCGAAUCUGAAAUAAAAAAUCCGGCCAAAACACCACCAUCUCCAAAUUCUGCCUAAUUAACAUAACAUUAUAUUCUUAUACCCCUCAUACCAAAUCCACAACCCUUAACUUUCGAAUCAUCUCCGUUUGGUUCGAAUCUCAGAUUGAAAUUUUGGCUAGAAACCCUAACUUAUUAAUGCUUGGGGAUAAAUGGUUUUCGGGCUACAAUAGCCCUUAAUUAGGCGUUUUCUCACGGAAAUACCUAAUUAGGGAUGAUUAUAGUCCGAAUUUGUCAACGAAAGGGCCACUGGAUUCGAGUUUGAGGUAUUUCUAUCUUUUGUUGUUUAUUCUUUGAUUCGUGAAUGUUAUUCUCCUAGUUUGUUAAUUUUUGUUUGCUAAUUUCAGUAUACUUGCCAUUGAUUUUUUUAGGGUUAGUUUUAAUCCGGUAAGUUUUUCUUCUUAGUUUGAUUAGUUCUCUGCUAUGUUUAAUUCCAUUAUCAUAAGCUUUCGAUUUCUUUUUUAGUUCAAUAUUUGUUGUUAUUCAUGACUGGUUCCAUUCUAGUGGUGUUUGAUUGUUUUAUUCUGUUUAAUUAUGUUUUGUGAUCCUUAUUUAGUUUAAUCAUGUGUUUUGAUUUAGUUAGUAAUUUCUUAUUGUGGCCUUUAAUUAGAUUUUAUUAGUUUAGUUGUUUGAAUAUAGUUGAAUUAGGAUUUUUGAGUUUAACUAUAGUCAAAUCUUAACUAAGGUGAAGGGGCCGGGGGUUUACUUAGUACUGGUUUAGUAAUUUCAUAAUAAGGACAAGGGUAAUAUAGAUUUUUUUCAAUUAAAGAAUAUUGCAAUAACAGAAAUUAGAAUUCAAUAGAAGCUUCUAGUAGGGGAUCAAAUAGUAAACAAUGAGUCAACUUGACCAACAAGCUAAUAAUUGAGGGAUUUUUAAAUAAAAACGAAAAUUAAGAAAGGAUUGUAAUGCAAAACUGAAAAUCUGACGGCUGCCCUCAUUUCUGCCUAUAAAAGGCAUGUCUAGUGCCUAAAUUAACAGGUUUCACAAUCUGAAAAUUCCCCCCCAGAUUUCCACAAGCCUUCAUAAGCUGAAGAUUUGAAUUUCAAAUCCAAAAACUCUAGAUCUAUCUAUUCAAAGACCAAAAAAACAACAUAAAACCUUCCAAAAUCCCAAAAAUACCGUUCUAUUGGAACGUUUCUUAGAUUAAUUUCAAGUACUAGUUACAGAUUCGAAUUUCUAGCCUAAAAAAAUAUGAAAUGACUUGAGAAUUCCUUGUUGUUUGGUUGCUGAAACUUCAAAGUGUUCAUGGGUUAAUUUCGAGUGUUUUGGGUUCAAUCAGGCUAUUUUUGGUCUUCUAUUGGUAAUGUACUUCUGUAGUUUCUUCCUGGGUCUUGUGAAGAUAUUUUUGUUUAAAAACUGCUCAUGUUCAUGUGGUUUAACAUUGCCGAUUGAUAGCUAUUGUUGCUGACCUCUCCUUCUUCUUAUUUUAUUUCAACUUCCAGUACACAUCCUGUAAAUUUCGAGUUUAUGGACAUGAAAUGAAGUGAUGAUUGAUUCUCCGAGUGUUUCCCUAUUGUAUUUCGUGUUAGUUUUAGGAUAAAUUUCAAUUUGUAAUUAAACAUGAUUGUUUUGGACUAUGGACUGUUAAACUAGUCUGGCAUUUUCUUAUGAUCAUAUGAGUUUUGUAUUUAGUAGUGUUAGCUUGACUUUAUUUGAAAUUUAGAGUUUGUGUUACUAUGAGUUAAUUCGAAAUAUCAACUUAUAGUUCGUGUUUCAGAUUCUUCCUCUUCAAUGCUAGUCGAGUUUUAUCAACUCAAAUGAUUAGAUGUUG